GUGCUCACUCCAGCAGCACAUACCCUAAAAUUGGAACGAUACAGAGAAGAUAGGCAUGGCUUCUGCUCAAAGAUGACACGAAAAUUUGUGAAGCAUUUUCUGCUUUU